GAUGAAGAAGGCAGCGAAAUGCGAUAAGUUAUGUGAAUUGCAGAAUUCAGUGAAUCAUCGAAUCUUUGAACGCACAUUGCGCCCGCCAGCAUUCUGGCGGGCAUGCCUGUUCGAGCGUCAUUUCAACCCUCGCAGCCCAUCUGGGCAGCGGUGUUGGGGACCGGCACCACCGGCGAAGCCCUUAGGGGCCCAGCCGGCGCCGCCCCCGAAAUACAGUGGCGGUCUCGCUGCAGCCUCCCUUGCGUAGUAGCACACCUCGCACCGGAGCGCAGCGCGGCCACGCCGUAAAACCCCCGACUUUCUGAGUUUGACCUCGAAUCAGGUAGGAAUACCCGCUGAACUUAAGCAUAUCAAUAAGCGGAGGA
rnacentral:misc_RNA from 1 species